rnacentral:lncRNA from 1 species
GAAUCAUGAUAGGAAUGCAAUUGACAAGCUUGACUGGUGGCAUUGGGAUGUAACUUGAUGAUCAAGCAAAAUAAGAUGCAAAUCCAAAUGCAUAAGGAAGAAAUCAUGUUGCUUUCGAUUAAUACAAGUGGGAAUGCACACGUUUCGAUGUUUUGGAAGUCAUAUAAUGAAGUAAAUUGGGCCAAGGUGUUAUUAAAUAUGCCCAAGCAGAUUUUUC